rnacentral:lncRNA from 1 species
UGCCUAUUGGUCCGCAGUAUUAAGAAUUUGUUAAAGUAUCUUUGCUUUAGCAUUUGUGAAUUUCAGGUAUAAUAUGUAAUAGGACAAGAAAAAACUCUGGAAUAAAUAUAUAUCAGACUGUGAAAGGGUAUAAAGCCCAUGGAGCUAAGUGCUUCCUGUUAAGUCAACUUUUAAAACAGCUUCUCUCUGGGCAGUAAUUCACAUUUUUCAAGGGGAGAAAGGAUAGGUGAAGUUGAAUUGUUCAAAUUAAGUCAAAAUGAAUUGCUUAAUAUUCAGAGGAGUUGAUGAAUGAACCAUUAAAUCAACACUUGCAUAGCGUUUCAUUGAAAAGAAAAAUGAACAACUCUCCAUUGUGUGCUGGGCAGAAUAGGUCAGCCAGUGACGUUGCUACAUCAGUGUGCUGAACUGAGCUCCUCCUGCUACCAGAUGUGUUUGCUCGGUGACAUUCCACGGGCAUGGGAACGAGCUCUCGUGCUCUGUGAUGAGGACUUAGCAUCUGCUCUAAAUGACCGUAAUCGUCCCAGCCUCAUCUCGAAGGAGAGAGAUCUUGGUUAGGUUUCAUUUGGCAUAAAUUAACAUAAUUUUAUUGAUGCCUCAUGUUGAUGUAUAUCUGUUGGGAAUCCACUUCUGUAUUUCAAGCUGUGGUUUUGUUUUGUUUCUCCACCAAGGAAGAGCUGUAUUUUUGAAUGCCAGUUUGAGGAAGAAAUUAUACUGAUAAAUGGAAAAAUAAGGGUCAUUAUUUUGAAACAAGGCUGACAAGAUUCCUUGUAGUAAAAGCUGUUUUCAGAGCAUCACCUCUCAGCAAUACAGAGGGCGAGCCUUGCUUCCAAACCCUUUGGUUAGCCUAGGUACAACUGUUGUAAUAAUUUUCUUGCCACAGAGAAAUUACCUUUGCCUUUUCUCCUUUAAGUCCUCAGAAUUCUUGUUUUGGAAUGUAUUGAGGAUGUUGACUGUAGCCUUAUUGUGCCUUCUGGAAACUUCCAACACUUUGAAGAGUCAUGGACAGUACGCCCUUGAUGUUUUUCAGUUGCACCUCUUUGCUUUACAGCAAACUGGAUUGAAUUACAGCCGAAUUGAAUGCACUUCUGUAGCACCUUCCCUCAGGGAUCUAAACCAAUUUUCUCACCAUUGCUAAAUGCUGAACUUCCCCUGUAUCCUCACAGAGUAAGUAGGAUGCUGCUGUCUGUGCUCUAGGGUAGGAAAAUUAGGAAGAGUGUUCAGUGCUACAUAUGGGAAGAGAAAGUGAUAAGAUAUUUAGCUCUUGGUUUUGAAUACUGUCAUGUGUUCACACAGUCGUAUUUUUUGGGCGGAGUGAAGCCUUGCCACAUGUAACCUUAAUAUGGGAAAAGCAAGGGCAAUAUUUACCCCUGUAGCAGUGUAACUGUUGUGCACAGCUUUGGGAUGGAGUAGGAACAAAUAGGUAAAAGCAGGAAGGAACAGUAAAAGGUGUUUUUGAGAAAUAUGGGCUGUGUUUCUGGCUUGACUCCUGGUCUGUUUUAGCUUGACCAGUCGCACUGUGGGCUCCAGCUUCUGAAAAAAGGCAUUUAAAAGUCAAUUCAGAGAGGGAGAGAGCUCUGCUUGUACAUCACAUCUGGUGCAAAGGGUUCAAUAUAUGGUGACAGGGACAAAAGAUUUGCCUCCCAGAAUUAUUUUUUUUUUGUUCACUUUAUUGCACGGCCAUUCU